rnacentral:rRNA from 1 species
UACGAAGGGGGCUAACGUUGCUCGGAAUCACUGGGCGUAAAGCGCACGUAGGCGGAUUGUUAAGUCAGGGGUGAAAUCCUGGAGCUCAACUCCAGAACUGCCUUUGAUACUGGCGAUCUCGAGUCCGGGAGAGGUGAGUGGAACUCCGAGUGUAGAGGUGAAAUUCGUAGAUAUUCGGAAGAACACCAGUGGCGAAGGCGGCUCACUGGCCCGGUACUGACGCUGAGGUGCGAAAGCGUGGGGAGCAAACAGG